GACGAACGCUGGCGGCGUGCCUAAUACAUGCAAGUUGAGCGCUGAAGGUUGGUACUUGUACCGACUGGAUGAGCAGCGAACGGGUGAGUAACGCGUGGGGAAUCUGCCUUUGAGCGGGGGACAACAUUUGGAAACGAAUGCUAAUACCGCAUAAAAACUUUAAACACAAGUUUUAAGUUUGAAAGAUGCAAUUGCAUCACUCAAAGAUGAUCCCGCGUUGUAUUAGCUAGUUGGUGAGGUAAAGGCUCACCAAGGCGAUGAUACAUAGCCGACCUGAGAGGGUGAUCGGCCACAUUGGGACUGAGACACGGCCCCAACUCCUACGGGAGGCAGCAGUAGGGAAUCUUCGGCAAUGGACGAAAGUCUGACCGAGCAACGCCGCGUGAGUGAAGAAGGUUUUCGGAUCGUAAAACUCUGUUGGUAGAGAAGAACGUUGGUGAGAGUGGAAAGCUCAUCAAGUGACGGUAACUACCCAGAAAGGGACGGCUAACUACGUGCCAGCAGCAGCCGCCG
rnacentral:rRNA from 1 species